rnacentral:rRNA from 1 species
AUUGAACGCUGGCGGCAUGCCUUACACAUGCAAGUCGAACGGCAGCACGGGUGCUUGCACCUGGUGGCGAGUGGCGAACGGGUGAGUAAUAUAUCGGAACGUACCUUAUUGUGGGGGAUAACGCAGCGAAAGCUGUGCUAAUACCGCAUACGAUCUAAGGAUGAAAGCGGGGGAUCGCAAGACCUCGCGCGAUUGGAGCGGCCGAUAUCAGAUUAGGUAGUUGGUGGGGUAAAGGCUCACCAAGCCAACGAUCUGUAGCUGGUCUGAGAGGACGACCAGCCACACUGGAACUGAGACACGGUCCAGACUCCUACGGGAGGCAGCAGUGGGGAAUUUUGGACAAUGGACGCAAGUCUGAUCCAGCCAUUCCGCGUGCAGGAUGAAGGCCCUCGGGUUGUAAACUGCUUUUGUACGGACGAAAAGGUUUGGGUUAAUACCCUGGGCUCGAUGACGGUACCGUAAGAAUAAGCACCGGCUAACUACGUGCCAGCAG